GCGGGAGUGGUGAAAUUGGCAGACACGCAGGAUUUAGGUUCCUGUGCCUGAGGGCGUGUGGGUUCAAGUCCCACCUUCCGCACGA
rnacentral:tRNA from 5 species